rnacentral:rRNA from 1 species
UACGUAGGGUGCAAGCGUUGUCCGGAAUUAUUGGGCGUAAAGAGCUCGUAGGCGGUCUGUCGCGUCUGCUGUGAAAACUCAGGGCUUAACCCUGAGCUUGCAGUGGGUACGGGCAGACUAGAGUGCGGUAGGGGAGACUGGAAUUCCUGGUGUAGCGGUGAAAUGCGCAGAUAUCAGGAGGGAACACCGGUGGCGAAGGCGGGUCUCUGGGCCGUAACUGACGCUGGAGG